rnacentral:rRNA from 1 species
UACGGGGGGGCAAGCGUUGUUCGGAAUUACUGGGCGUAAAGGGCCAGUAGGCGGCCAACUAAGUCGGAUGUGAAAUCCCCAGGCUUAACCUGGGAACUGCAUCCGAUACUGGAUGGCUUGAAUUCGGGAGAGGGAUGCAGAAUUCCAGGUGUAGCGGUGAAAUGCGUAGAUAUCUGGAGGAAUACCGGUGGCGAAGGCGGCAUCCUGGACCGACAUUGACGCUGAACGGCGAAAGCUAGGGGAGCAAACGGGAGUUAGAAACCCCA